rnacentral:rRNA from 1 species
UUGAGCCUUGAUGUGUAGGAUAGGUGGGAGGCUUUGAAGCGUGGACGCCAGUCUGCGUGGAGCCGACCUUGAAAUACCACCCUUUAAUGUUUGAUGUUCUAACGUGGAUCCGUAAUCCGGGUUGCGGACAGUGUCUGGUGGGUAGUUUGACUGGGGCGGUCUCCUCCUAAAGAGUAACGGAGGAGCACGAAGGUUGGCUAAUCCUGGUCGGACAUCAGGAGGUUAGUGCAAUGGCAUAAGCCAGCUUGACUGCGAGCGUGACGGCGCGAGCAGGUGCGAAAGCAGGUCAUAGUGAUCCGGUGGUUCUGAAUGGAAGGGCCAUCGCUCAACGGAUAAAAGGUACUCCGGGGAUAACAGGCUGAUACCGCCCAAGAGUUCAUAUCGACGGCGGUGUUUGGCACCUCGAUGUCGGCUCAUCACAUCCUGGGGCUGAAGUAGGUCCCAAGGGUAUGGCUGUUCGCCAUUUAAAGUGGUACGCGAGCUGGGUUUAGAACGUCGUGAGACAGUUCGGUCCCUAUCUGCCGUGGGCGCUGGAGAACUGAGGGGGGCUGCUCCUAGUACGAGAGGACCGGAGUGGACGCAUCACUGGUGUUCGGGUUGUCAUGCCAAUGGCACUGCCCGGUAGCUAAAUGCGGAAGAGAUAAGUGCUGAAAGCAUCUAAGCACGAAACUUGCCCCGA